rnacentral:rRNA from 1 species
AACGAACGCUGGCGGCAUGACUAACACAUGCAGGUCGAACGAGAUCUUCGGGUCUAGUGGCGCACGGGUGCGUAACGCGUGGGAAUCUGCCCUUUGGUUCGGAAUAACAGUUGGAAACGACUGCUAAUACCGGAUGAUGACGAAAGUCCAAAGAUUUAUCGCCAGAGGAUGAGCCCGCGUAGGAUUAGCUAGUUGGUGUGGUAAAGGCGCACCAAGGCGACGAUCCUUAGCUGGUCUGAGAGGAUGAUCGGCCACACUGGGACUGAGACACGUCCCAGACUCCUACGGGAGGCAGCAGUGGGGAAUAUUGAACAAUGGGCGAAAUCCUGAUCCAGCAAUGCCGCGUGCGUGAUGAAGGCCUUAGGGUUUUAAAGCUCUUUCACCCGGGAUUAUAAUGACAGUACCGGGAGAAUAAGCUCCGGCUAACUACGUGCCAGCCGCCGCCGUAA